UUCAAAUUAUGAUUUUUUGUAAAAAAAGUUGAAUAAGAAAUUUUAAUUUUUUUAUUUUUCCCUUAAAUAUAAUUUAUUAUUUAAUAAAUUUUCAUUAAAUUUAAAAGGAAAUUGAUAUAUUGAUUACAAAUUUUUCCUUAUAAAUCUUGAGCUCUUGGCUAAUAGUAUUUUCAUUUUAGUAAUUGGCAAUAAAUAAAUAUCGGACAAUUUCUUUUACUUUUUAAACAUUUUGGUCCUUCAAAUAAAGUAAGUUUUAAUUAGCACCGCUGGAUAGAGAGUGUGGGGUCCACUGCUUUAUACUUUUUCCAACCGACUCACGGAGAGCCACAAAUUCAGAAUCACUUAUAGCGGGAAAAGGAAUUAGAAUAAGUUAAUUUAUUUAUAAUCCAUUAUUAUAUCCAAAACUUAAUUUAAUUAUUUAUGCUAUUUAUAAAGAUAUUUAUAAUCCAUUAUUUAUAAUUGAACACAAAAUACAUUCGAACAAUUCUAAAAAUAAAGAUCAAAUGAAUUUGUUAAUAUUUGAUUGAUUUAAAUCCUUAUUCUUUUAUAAAAUAAAAGAUGAUACGACUUUUAUUUAUACAAUCUGACUUUAACGAACUAACAUAUGCUUUAUAUUAUAAAAAUAUUAAAGGAUUUAAUCGAACCACACUCUUCUUCUUAGCUUUUCACUUAUGAUUAAAUUAUAAAAAAUUAACCAUCAUUGUACACACCGAUUUUGUUCGGAUCUAUUAUUUUUUUUUUAAUAAUAAUAAUAUUUAACAAAACAAACAAAAAACAAAAAAUAAACAAACAAAAGAAACAGAAAUAAAACAAAAGUCAAGGGGUUGGUUCGGCGCCGAACUGGCCCGACCAACUACCCGAUCAGCCUCCCGACAAGCCACCAAUCACGGACGGUAGGUAUGAUUUUUCAGUUGAAAAAUGAGAUUCAAAUCUCAGAAAAUCUGAGAUUUGAAUCCCAACAAGCUCUAUAAAUAUAGCUUGUAAACUAGACUAAAAGAGGAAACGAAAAAAAAAGAAAAAAAGGAGGCAGCUUCUGUAAAAAAAAAAAAAUUCUGCAAAAACACACAAAAAAAAAAAACAACAGUCCCCUGGAACGGGGAACCCAGCGCCAGAAAGUCACCUGAAAAAAAAAAGAGAGAGAUCAGCAGAUUCAAAAAAAAAAAAAAAAAAAAAAGGAGACCGAAACUUUGAGCCCCGAUCUACGUCGAUCAGGGUUGUUUCCGGUAAAAAGGACACCGGAUCUGGAAAGAUCGCGUCGAAGAGAACUUCCAGAAGAAUUUUCACUUUUCCCGGUCAUCGGAAACCACCGUCCAAGACUGCCGGCGGCGAGCCAGACGGCGGCCGGCACGGUGCUCCGGCAACCGACCGGCGACCCUCCCCCAGAGCUCUCUCUCUCCCUCUCUCCCUUUUUUUUUUCUGAAACAGAAGCCAAAUGAACCAAAAAAAAAUCUUCAGCUAUAUAUAGUAAAGCAAAAACUCAAAACGACGUCGUUUAGAGAAAGACCCAAAACGACGCCGUUUCAGCCAAGGAGGAUCCGCGCGUCAACCCGCGACCCGACCCGGGGUCCGCGCACCCGACCCGCGACCCGCUGCCUUUAUCAGCUCUGACCGGUCUGACUAGACCGAACCGAACCGCCGGACCAAACCAACCAGAUCGAACCGAACCGCCGAACCGAACCAGGAGUUGACCGGACCGUUGACCGGUCCGGUUCAGGUAAAAAAAUUUUUUUUUUUUUUUGAAUUUUUCUUAUUUUUUAUAUAUUAUUUUAUUAAUAUUUAUGCAUAUUAAAAUAUCUAUAUUUGUUAGACUAAUUAAUGAAAUUGUGGUUAAAUAAUUUUUUAUAUAAUUAUGUUAAUUUUUAGAAUAAACUUUAAAAACAAUAACAUAAAAAAUAAAUUUAAUAAUAAUACUAAAGUAAUAAAAAAAUGAAAGAAAAAGGAAAUUUUUAUCCGACGAUGAGAUUCAAAGGUAUUCCGAGUAGUGAUGCCUACGAAAUCUCUAGGUGAGAAGAUUUUUUUUAAAAUACUACCAGCGUAUUGGAGUAUUUAUAAAAAAUUUUCAAUACAGUAAAGAUUUUCUUUUUUUAAAAAUAAUAAAUAAAAAUUGAUUAAUAAAUUAAAAUAUAACUAAUAAAAAAUAAGAGAAGAGGAAAUUUUUAUCCGAUGAUGAGAUUCAAAGGUAUUCCGAGUAGUGAUGCCUACGAAAUCUCUAGGUGAGAAGAUUUUUUUAAGUACUACCAGCGUAUUGGAGUAUUUAUAAAAAUUUUCAAUAUAGUAAAGAUUUUCUUUUUUAAGAAUAAUAAAUAAAAAUUAAUGAAUAUAUUAAAAUAUAAGUAAUAAAAAUAAGAAGAAAAGAAAUUUAAUCCGAUGAUGAGAUUCAAAGGUAUUCCGAGUAGAGAUGCUUUAAGAAAUCUCUAGGUGAGAAGAUUUUUUGUAAAAUAUUACCAGCGUAUUGGAAUAUUUAUAGAAAAUCUUCAAUAUGAUUAAAUUCCUUUUUUCUUCAAAAUUUUAAUUAAAAUUAAUAAAAUAAUUAAUAAAAUUUUUGAAUGAGAAUAAAAUGUGUGCAUAAACACGAAAAUAUUUUGCAUGGCAUGCAUAACAUAAUUUCUUACGAAAAGUAAAUUUAGACCUCCAAAGAUGAGAUUCUAAAAGUAUUCCGAGUAGAGAUGCUUUAAGAAAUCUCUAGGUGAGAAAGAGUUCUUUUAAUGUUACCAACGUACUGGAACAUUUUAAGAAUUAUUUCAACAAAAAGGUUUUAAUUUAUUUUUCUCGAGAAUAAAUUUUUUUACAUGACAUUUUCUUACGAAAAGUAAAUUCGAGCCUCCAAAGAUGAGAUUCUAAAAGUAUUCCGAGUAGAGAUGCUUUAAGAAAUCUCUAGGUGAGAAAGAGUUCUUUUAAUGUUACCAACGUACUGGAAUAUUUUAAGAAUUAUUUCAAUAAAAAGGUUUUGAUUUAUUUUUCUCGAGAAUAAUUUUAAUAAAUAAAAAAUCAAAGAAAUUAUUUUUCGAAUACUGAAAAUAAGACUGUUUGUAUCAAAAUCAAAGGAUAACACGUUGUUAAUUGGUACCGUUUUUAACGGGCGUUGUGGGGGUGCUAAUCCUUCCCCACACGUAAUCGACUCCCGAACCCAGACUGUUUCGCAGACCGUAAAAUUAUCUUUUUAAUAAAUUUUAAUUAAUUUUAAGAUUUCAUUAAAAGGAUAUGUUUUAAUAGGUGGCCAAUCGCACCUAGCCAAAAAAGAUUGGUGGCGACUCCGUUAUUUUUUAUUUCGUUUCCAAAUUCGUCGGGCGGACACAAAACCGUUACGACAGCUUGGCGACUCCACUGGGGAAGCCUUUUGUUUUCGAGAGUCAGGCCAAAAUUAACUACUUGUUAUCCUCAAAUUUUGAUUUAAAUAGUCUUAAUCAAUUUCUUAAUUUAUUUCAUUAAAAGGUAAAAAAAAAAACCAAAAAACAAACAAAUCAAAAUAAAAAGCAAAAAAUUCACACACAUUUCUCUUACUAUGCCUCUUAUGUUUUAUUUUUAUAUAUUGCUUUCAAUAAAUUAGGAUAUAUUUGCACACAAUGGCACGAUGCAUCUCAUACAUGAGCUCUAUACCCGGGCUCCGUCCUUUAUAGGAGGAAGUAAAGUACCUAUUGCUCUCGUGAGGUGAUAACCUCCGCAAUGGCAAGCGAAAUACUUCCACUCGAAUUGAACCCUUUCCGUUCGUAGCCUGUAAUGGGUGAGGAUCGGGGUGCCUUACUAGUCCAAUAUGGACGACAGUGAGGAACAAUUUGGGAACCUUUAGACCCUGUCAAUCCAAACCCAGCAUAUAAUAAGCCUAGGAAAUCAGCCUUAUGUAGAGCCCCGUCUACCUUCUUGUAGAAAAUACCUAAGAAUAAAAGUUGUGUAUAAUACGAAACAAAACAAAACAAAAAAAAAUCUCAAAACACAAAAACAAAACAAAAAAAAAUGUUUUUUUCUUAAACCACAUCCUCACACUAACUCAAUUUUGUUUCUUUCUCUUUUUCCUUUUGCAUUAAUCAUAUCAAAUAUUUUUUUUGCAUUCAUGCAUCAUUUGCAUCAUUUUUUUUUAAAAAAAAAAUUUUCAAAAAUAAAAAUUUUAACACAUAGCAUUCUAAUUUUUUUUUUCUUUUUCAAAAUAAAAACUUUGUGGUAAUAAAGGUUCAAGAAUAGCUCACCCAUCAAAAAUUUCGGCCCAACCUACUCGUCAUUCAUACAAUACCAGGACACAGACAAGAAUCAUGGAGCAAGAACAGGCCAGUCGAUUUGAGAGAAUUGAGAAAGCUCAAGAAGAACUAAAAGGAGAUCUUAGUACAAUAAUGGAUAUGCUCAGGAAACUUGACAAGGGAAAAGCAGUGGAAGAAAAUCCUAGCUUUCAAGAACAAUCGCCAGAUAUGGUAGAUCCUGUCUAUCCUCCAGGGUUUGAGCCACGACUGAACCAACCUUCACAAGGAACUAGAGUACCAAUUCCUACUCCUGGUGGAUAUCCUAAUCCUUAUCCAGGAAUAACAUCCACACCUGCUCCAGGACAAUUUCAAAAUUUUGUUAAUCCCAUUAUGAUGGAAAAACCACCUGAGCCAAUCUUAGUUCCUGAUUUGGAUGAUCCCAAGGAAAGAGAAAAGCUAGGGAUGCAGACACCUGAAAAGGUAGAAGAUACCAGUGCCCGGGAGAAGAUGAAGUUAUUGGAAGAAAGGCUUAGGGCUGUAGAGGGAAUGAAUUUUUAUGGCUCCACAGAUGCGGCUGACCUUUGUUUAGUUCCAGACGUGGUAAUUCCAACUAAAUUCAAGGUCCCUGAAUUUGAAAAAUAUGAUGGCACAAAAUGCCCAAUGACCCACAUCAUCAUGUAUUGUCGAAAGAUGGCAGCAUAUGCUCGAGACGAGAAGUUGUUAAUGCACAUAUUUCAAGAUAGUCUCACGGGUUCUGCAGCUAGAUGGUAUGUCCAACUAGAUAGAACUCGUAUUCAUUCUUGGCAAGAGCUUACAAAGGCAUUCCUUACACAAUAUCGUCAUGUCACGGAUAUGAUUCCAGAUCGUCUAUCUCUUCAAAGCAUGGAAAAGAAAGCAACUGAAAACUUCAAGGAGUAUGCACAAAGGUGGAGAGAUGUGGCUGCACAAGUCCAACCUCCUCUCACUGAAAAAGAAACAACUAUUUUAUUUGUGAACACCUUGAAAGCACCAUAUUAUGAGAGAUUGAUAGGCAAUGCAACCAAGAACUUUACAGAUAUGGUGAUAUCAGGAGAGAUCAUUGAAAGUGCCAUAAAAAAUGGUAAGCUGAUGUGGGAGAGACAAGUGGAGCAAGAAAGAGUGGAGCUCCUAGAAAGAAAGAGAAUGAGGCCCAAGCAGUAAAUUUUUGGGGCAACAAUUCAGAGGUUUCACACCCUACUCUGUACCAGUCUACCAAACCCAUUACCCUUCUGUAAACCAUGUUACAUCCACCCCCCAUUCAUAUCAACCAUACCAGUCAUUACCACAACCAGCUUAUUCACCCCGUUUUCAGCCAUCCUUUCGAACACCCACCUAUUCCUAUAAUCGUCCUGUUAUACCUACAAGACCAGACUGGAGACCUAAUAGUGGUCCAAGAGCCCCAAGAAAUACCCAAGAAAAACUCACUUUCGAUCCCAUUCCCAUGACAUAUACAGAUUUGUAUCCUCGACUUGUUGAGAAACAUCUGCUGCUCCUGUUAUCAUUGAACCUAUGAAACCUCCGUUUCCCAAAUGGUAUGACCCCAAUGCACAUUGUGAUUAUCAUUAUGGGAAUCCAGGUUCAUUCCACUGAGAACUGUACUGCUUUGAAGCGUAAAGUGCAGGGGUUAAUCAAUGAAGGAGUAUUAAAUUUUUGAUACCAGCCAACAAGGGACUCCAAAUGUCAAUGGGAACCCUCUACCGAAUCAUACCAGACCAUCAAUAAAUGCUUUGGUUGAUGGGCAAACAAGCUAUGUGAAAAGAAGAAUAGAAGAGGUCAAAACUCCUAUGGCUAAAGUGUUCGAAGUAUUGGUCAAAACUGACAUGUUGAAGCCAAUAGAACCUCAAAAUUGCUCUGAAAUAAUAAACUCAACUGAAAGCUGCAAUUAUCACAGAGGUGUUCUGGGGCAUUCUAUCCAGAAUUGUCAUCAAUUUCGUCAGGAGGUGCAAAAAUUGAUAGAUGAAGGUCGAAUGGAGUUUUACCAAGAAAGAAGAAUUGGUGAAAGCUGAAGUGUCUACCAUUGAUUCAAAGAAUAAGUUUGUACGUAGACCGGUAACUAUCUAUUAUGAUGAGAAGCCAACAUCAAAGCUAGAAAAACCCGUCUCUCGACCAGUGGUGACAAUUAAAGUUCCUGGCCCUUUUUCAUAUCAGAAUGAUAAAACAGUACCUUGGAAGUAUGAUUAUGAUGUCGUAGUUAACCCAGAUACUGCCAACAUAACGGGUGUAGGAGGCAUAACUCGAAGUGGGAGGUGUUAUACCCCAGAAGCUCUAGAAAAAGCUAGAAAGGAGAAAGCCAAAGUAGGAGAAGAAAAUGAAAGUCAGAGUGGUCUUGACACAACCCUAGAAAAAGAAUGGCAGAAGCCAGUAUCUGAAAGUGAAGCAGGUGAAUUUUUGAAGUUAAUAAAACAUAGCGAGUAUAGCGUGGUAGAACAGCUUAACAAGAUGCCAGCUAGAAUUUCGCUAUUGUCAUUAUUGCUCAGUUCAGAGUCACACCGUAAUGCUUUGCUGAAAGUGCUAAAUCAAGCAUAUGUGUCUCACAAUGCUUCUGUUGAAUAUGUGGAACAGCUUGUUGGCAAUCUGACGAUUUCAAACUAUAUCUCUUUCAGUGAUGAAGAGAUUCCUCCUGAAGGUAGAGGAAGUACCAAGGCUCUUCACAUUACUGUGAAAUGUAAAAGUCAUAUAAUGGCUAAGGUUUUGAUUGAUAAUGGUUCAUCCAUCAAUGUUAUGCCUGUGACUACUUUGGCAAAACUCCCUGUUGAUGGAUCUUAUAUGAAACCUAGUCAUAUGAUAGUGAGAGCCUUUGAUGGAACCAGAAGAGAGGUGCUAGGAGAUAUAGAAGUGCCAUUGCAAAUUGGCCCAUGCAUUUUCAAUGUGAAAUUUCAAGUUAUGGACAUCUCUCCUUCAUACAGUUGUUUAUUGGGUAGGCCGUGGAUCCAUAUGGCAGGUGCUGUUCCAUCCUCAUUACAUCAAAAAGUCAAAUUCAUUGUUGAAGGGAAGCUAACAUGUGUGGCAGGAGAAGAAGAUUUAUUGGUAACUCAACCGAUAAAUACUCCUUAUGUGGAAUCAGCAGAUGAAGCUUUAGAAUGCUCUUAUAGAUCUUUCGAGAUUGCCAAUGCAACAUAUAUAGCUGGAGGAUCUAAAUUGUAUUCGCCAUACUUAUCUACGACUACUAAAAUGGUAGUCAAACAGCUUACCAAGAUGGGAUGGCGACCUGAAGCCGGACUUGGGAAGAACCUGCAAGGAAUCACGAAGCCAUCGACUAUAAAUGAAAAGAGAGAUAGAUUUGGCUUGGGAUAUAAGCCAACAAGAGGGGACAGAACAAGAAUGGUGAAUGAGAAAAGAGAUAAGAGGAUAGCUAAUCUUAAGGGAUAUGAGCUGGAGUCAGAGCCUAUAGUCAUUCCACACCUCUAUGAUUCUUUUCACUCAGGAGGAUACAUUUAUUCAGAUUUACCGAGAGCCUCAAGUACAGGAUUCAUGGAAAAAUUUUCAGAGCUAGCCAUUCAAAUGGUGGAUGAUGGAGAAAAGAAGAGUCGAAGUGAAGAGCUAUUCGUGUACCCUUGUCCUUCAGAUUUUGAGCUGGAUAAUUGGAAAGUUAUGGAGCUGCCUGUUGUUUUGGAAAAGUAAUGUGAAACUUUAAAUCCCUAAUUACUUUUUAUUAGGAGAUCUUUUAUGGUGUGUUUAUGUUUGUCAUUUUAAUAAAAGACUUAGAAGAUGCAUCCAUAUUUUUUCUAUUGUUUUUAUCUUCAUUUUACCUUUCAUUCUUUUCUUUCUUACAUUUUCUUGUCAUUCCAUCUUUGUGUGCCAAUAUUUUCUUCAUCUUACCCUUUGCAGGGUCCCAAACAAUGAACAUGAAGAUAAUCAUGGCAAUAAUCUCGGAUUUGAUUUUGAAAACUUAAUUCAUGUUGAUGAACUUGAUAAUGAGGAAGAUUCAGAUAACUACACAUUGCCUCUUGAUUUGUUAAAAUUAAUAGAACAUGAAGAUAAGCCAAUUGAACCCCACCAAGAAAUUACUGAAUCAGUAAAUUUGGGAGGUGGUGAGAACAAAAGAGAGGUCAAAGUUGGUACAUCUCUUUUACCAGCUGAAAGACAGAAGCUAGAAGAGCUACUCCGAGAAUAUGUAGAUGUGUUCGCAUGGACUUAUCAAGAUAUGCCAGGACUCAGCACUGAUAUUGUAGAGCACAAGUUACCUUUAAAAUCAGGAUGUAAGCCGAUGCAGCAAAAGCUAAGGCGCAUGAAACCAGAGAUGCUGCUGAAAAUUAAAGAGGAAGUGAAGAAACAAUUCGAUGCUGGAUUUUUGGAAGUGGCAAAAUAUCCUGAAUGGGUAGCCAACAUAGUGCCAGUUCCUAAGAAGGAUGGAAAAGUGAGAAUGUGUGUCGAUUAUCGAGAUCUGAAUAGAGCAAGCCCUAAGGAUAACUUUCCUUUACCUCACAUCGAUACUCUAGUGGAUAAUACUGCUAGGCACUCCACGUUUUCCUUUAUGGAUGGUUUCUCAGGCUAUAAUCAGAUCAAGAUGGCUCGAGAUGAUAUGGAGAAAACUACAUUUGUGACCAUGUGGGGAACAUUCUGUUACAAAGUCAUGCCUUUUGGGUUGAAAAAUGCUGGUGCUACUUAUCAAAGAGCAAUGGUGACUCUUUUUCAUGACAUGAUGCAUAAAGAGAUAGAAGUGUAUGUGGAUGAUAUGAUUGCAAAAUCUCGUGAAGGAGAGGAUCAUAUCGUCAAUCUCAAAAAGCUGUUCGACAGGUUGAGGAGAUUUCAGUUGAAGUUGAAUCCUGCCAAAUGUACAUUUGGAGCCAAAUCAGGAAAACUAUUGGGCUUUGUAGUCAGUGAAAAAGGAAUCGAAGUGGACCCGGAUAAGAUACAAGCCAUCCAAAACUUAUCUCCUCCUCAUACCUCAAAAGAAGUGCGAGGUUUCUUAGGGAGAUUAAAUUAUAUUGCUCGCUUCAUCUCUCAACUCACUUAUAAGUGUGAUCCUAUUUUCAAGCUUCUCAGAAAACAUGAUCCUGGAGAAUGGAAUGACGAAUGCCAAGAAGCUUUUGAUAAGAUCAAAGAAUACUUGUCAAAUCCACCUGUGUUGGUGCCACCAAUGCCAGGAAAACCUUUGAUUUUGUACUUGACAGUGCAUGAAAAUUCAAUGGGAUGUGUGCUGGGGCAAAGAGAUGAAACUGACAGGAAAGAACGAGCAAUUUACUACUUGAGCAAGAAGUUCACUGAUUAUGAGUCAAAGUAUUCACCAUUAGAGAAGAUGUGUUGUGCAUUAACCUGGACAGCUCGAAGGCUUAGACAAUACAUGCUUUAUCACACUACUUGGCUCAUAGCAAAGCUGGAUCCUAUUAAGUAUAUCUUCGAAAAGCCCUCAUUGACAGGAAGAAUAGCACGGUGGCAAGUUAUGCUUUCAGAAUAUGAUAUCAUUUACGUGACUCAAAAAGCUAUUAAAGGGAGUGCAAUAGCUGAAUUCCUUGCUGAUCGUGCAGUCGAAGAUUAUGAGCCAAUGAAAUUAGAUUUUCCUGAUGAGGAUGUGAUGGCCAUUGAAAAAAAUGAACCUGUUGAAAAAUCAUGGAGGAUGUAUUUUGAUGGAGCUGCUAAUGCUUUGGGUCAUGGUAUUGGGGCAAUUUUGAUAUCUCCUGAUGGACAUUAUUACCCCAUCACAGCCAGAUUAAAUUUUAAUUGCACAAACAAUGUGGCUGAAUAUGAGGCCUGUGUUAUGGGUCUACAAGCAGCAAUUGAAAAGAAGAUCAAAGUGUUAGAUGUGUUUGGAGAUUCAGCUUUAGUCAUCUAUCAGUUACGAGGUGAAUGGGAAACAAGAGACUCUAAGUUGAUUCGGUACCAUAAAUACAUCUCUGAGUUGGUUAAGCAAUUUAAAGAAGUUCAGUUUGAGCAUCUACCUAGAGAGGAAAACCAAAUUGCUGAUGCACUGGCUACUCUAGCUGCAAUGAUCAAAAUAGAUGCAAAUACUGAAAUCCAACCCAUCAAGCUGGACGUGAAAGAUAUACCAGCACAUUGCUCAGGUGUUGAAAAAGAAAUUGAUGAAAGGCCAUGGUAUCAUGACAUCAUGCAAUACAUUAAAAGCCAGCAAUACCCAGAACAUGCAACAAAAAAUGAUAAGAGAACUAUCAGAAGAUUGGCUAUGAGUUUCUUUAUUGAUGGAGAUGUCCUUUACAAAAGAGAUCGAGAUCAAGUGCUCUUAAGAUGUGUAAAUGCAGCUGAAGCAAAGAAGAUUAUUGAAGAAGUGCAUGAUGGAGUUUGUGGGGCACAUACAAAUGGUCAUAUGAUGGCUAGACAAAUUAUGAGGGCUGGCUAUUAUUGGUUGACAAUGGAGAGUGACUGUAUUGAUUAUGCUAGGAGAUGUCAUAAAUGUCAGAUUUAUGCUGACAAGAUUCAUGCUCCACCAUCAACAUUACACGUUCUAGCUCCUCCCUGGCCAUUCUCAAUGUGGGGUAUGGAUGUCAUUGGUCCCAUUACUCCAAAAGCUUCGAAUGGGCAUAGAUUCAUUUUUGUGAUGAUUGAUUACUUCACCAAAUGGGUAGAAGCUGCAUCAUAUGCUAGUGUGACCCGAUCUGUGGUAUGUAAGUUCAUAAAAAGAGAGAUAAUGUGUAGAUAUGGGCUUCCGGAGACAAUUAUUUCUGAUAAUGCCAAAAACUUGAACAACAAAAUGAUGAAUGAAGUAUGCACUCAGUUCAAGAUCCGCCAUCGUAAUUCGGCACCAUAUCGUCCAAAAAUGAAUGGGGCAGUGGAGGCUGCGAAUAAGAAUAUCAAGAGAAUCCUGGAGAAAAUGACUGAAACUUACAAAGAUUGGCAUGAGAAGUUGCCUUUUGCCUUGCAUGCUUAUAGAACAUCAGUCAGAACAUCUACUGGGGCCACACCGUUCUCUUUGGUAUAUGGAAUGGAAGCUGUGCUACCGAUCGAAGUGGAAAUUCCCUCACUGAGAGUCCUGAUGGAGGUAGAGUUAGAGGAAGCAGAAUGGGUUCGAAAUCGCUACGAGCAGUUAAACCUCAUUGAAGAGAAAAGACUGUCAGCACUUUGUCAUGGUCAAUUAUAUCAAAAGAGGAUGAUGAGAGCACAUGACAAGAAAACUCGUCCCCGUUGCUUUAGGGAAGGAGACUUAGUGCUAAAAAGAUUCCUUCCAAAUCAACAUGAUAAUCGAGGGAAAUGGACACCAAAUUGGGAAGGCCCGUAUGUGGUGAAAAAGGCCUUUUCUGGUGGGGCAUUGAUUUUGGCAGAAAUGGAUGGAGGUGAUCUGCCUACCCCAAUAAAUUCAGAUGUUGUGAAGAAAUAUUUUGCUUAAAAAAAAAGAAAAAAAAAAAAAAGAAAAAAAUGAUGACUUAUCUAAGUUGAAAACCUGAAAAGGCGGCUUAGAUGUGAAGCAAAAGCAUCAUCAAGAAAAGAUCCCACAAUGCAGGGGCAAGUGUAGUUUGACGAACUUUGAAUAAUCAAGAAAGUCAUCUGAUUUAGUUUUAGAGAAAGAAUCUGAGAAUAUUUUGUUCAUGAUUAUCUUGUGAUCAUUCUUUUGACACCUUUAUUUCAACUCAAACACUUUGACAUACACUUGGUAUCAGCAUAGAAAAUACAUUAUCCUUCAUUUGAAAAUAAUGCCUAUCCUUUCUUUAUCCUUAUUCGAUAUUUUUGUGUCCAUCAGAGAAAUGUGAUUGCAUUUUAUUUGUCUUGAACUUAAAAUGAUGAAAAGAAAAACAAACAUGAAAGAUCUCAGCAUUACUUUUAAAGUUGACAAAGGCAAAUGAAAAAGGAUGAGAAAAGCAUGACAAGUCAUUGAUGUUGUAGACUUUUGAAAAAAAAAAUAUUGUGGUCAGAUGUUGAAGACAGAUUGGUCAUAUAAGAAUUCAGAUAAAAGAAGCCGAAAGCGAGAGAUUUCGAGAACCUUUUUACUACAAUGAACGAUUUUGAUUGCAUUACAUGCAUUGCAUCAUGAGCACUCAGUACAUGCAUCCAUGAGAAGUUGUAACCCAGAUAGAAAUUUUCCAUUUCUUAAUGAAAAAACAAGAUUUUGGUAAAGACCAAUGAUCAAACAAAGGAAUUCAAAAGAGGAAAUUUACUUGUUCAAAGAUGAGAACUCAAAUUUGAAACAGAAGAUGAAUUUAAAGUUGUGGAGCCUCUGCUGAGAGGAGCUUUUCCAAGAUGAUUUUUAAAGUGUUGAGCCUCUGCUGAGAGGAGCUUUUUCAGAUGAGAUUUUAAAGUUGUGGAGCCUCUGCUGAGAGGAGCUUUUCCAAGAUGAAUUUUAAAGUUGUUGAGCCUCUGCUGAGAGGAGCUUUUCCAAGAUGAAAUUUUAAAGUUGUGGAGCCUCUGCUGAGAGGAGCUUUUUCCAAGAUGAAUUUUAAAGUUGUGGAGCCUCUGCUGAGAGGAGCUUUUUCCAAGAUGAAUUUAAAGUUGUUGAGCCUCUGCUGAGAGGAGCUUUUUCAGAUGAAUUUUAAAGUUGUUGAGCCUGCUGAGAGGAGCUUUUUCAAUGAAAUUUUAAAGUUGUGAGCCUCUGCUGAGAGGAGCUUUUCCAAGAUAGAUUUUAAAGUUGUUGAGCCUCUGCUGAGAGGAGCUUUUCAGAUGAAAUUUUAAAGUUGUUGAGCCUCUGCUGAGAGGAGCUUUUUCAGAUGAAAUUUUAAAGUUGUUGGAGCCUCUGCUGAGAGGAGCUUUUCCAAGAUGAAUUUUAAAGUUGUUGAGCCUCUGCUGAGAGGAGCUUUUUCAGAUGAAAUUUUAAAGUUGUGGAGCCUCUGCUGAGAGGAGCUUUUCCAAGAUGAAUUUUAAAGUUGUUGAGCCUCUGCUGAGAGGAGCUUUUUCAGAUGAAUUUUAAAGUUGUGAGCCUCUGCUGAGAGGAGCUUUUUCAGAUGAAUUUUAAAGUUGUGGAGCCUCUGCUGAGAGGAGCUUUUCCAAGAUGAGAUUUUAAAGUUGUUGAGCCUCUGCUGAGAGGAGCUUUUUCAGAUGAAUUUUAAAGUUGUUGAGCCUCUGCUGAGAGGACUUUUCAGAUGAAAUUUUAAAGUUGUGGAGCCUCUGCUGAGAGGAGCUUUUCCAAGAUGAAUUUUAAAGUUGUUGAGCCUCUGCUGAGAGGAGCUUUUUCAGAUGAAUUUUAAAGUUGUUGAGCCUCUGCUGAGAGGAGCUUUUCCAAGAUGAAUUUUAAAGUUGUUGAACCUCUGCUGAGAGGAGCCCUUUCAAAAAUAAAAAAAUAAAAAAAAUCAAAUCAGGAUUUAUCUUCGGACAAAAUCGUCGUCUUUGUCUUUGCCCUAUUCCUGAUUCUCAGUAAUGUGCAAAGAGGGGCAGCUGUAGACACCGGUUUUGUCCGGAUCUACUGUUUUUUUUUUAAUAAUAAUAAUAUUUAACAAAACAAACAAAAAACAAAAAAUAAACAAACAAAAGAAACAGAAAUAAAACAAAAGUCAAGGGGUUGGUUCGGCGCCGAACUGGCCCGACCAACUACCCGAUCAGCCUCCCGACAAGCCACCAAUCACGGACGGUAGGUAUGAUUUUUCAGUUGAAAAAUGAGAUUCAAAUCUCAGAAAAUCUGAGAUUUGAAUCCCAACAAGCUCUAUAAAUAAGCUUGUAAACUAGACUAAAAGAGGAAACGAAAAAAAAAGAAAAAAAGGAGGCAGCUUCUGUAAAAAAAAAAAAAAUUCUGCAAAAACACACAAAAAAAAAAAACAACAGUCCCCUGGAACGGGGAACCCAGCGCCAGAAAGUCACCUGAAAAAAAAAAGAGAGAGAUCAGCAGAUUCAAAAAAAAAAAAAAAAAAAAAAAGGAGACCGAACUUUGAGCCCCGAUCUACGUCGAUCAGGGUUGUUUCCGGUAAAAAAGGACACCGGAUCUGGAAAGAUCGCGUCGAAGAGAACUUCCAGAAGAAUUUUCACUUUUCCCGGUCAUCGGAAACCACCGUCCAAGACUGCCGGCGGCGAGCCAGACGGCGGCCGGCACGGUGCUCCGGCAACCGACCGGCGACCCUCCCCCAGAGCUCUCUCUCUCCCUCUCUCCCUUUUUUUUUUCUGAAAC
rnacentral:lncRNA from 1 species